rnacentral:tRNA from 1 species
ACCACAAUGGCUUAGCUGGUGGAGCAUCUGUCCAGUAAGCGGAAAGUCGCCGGUCUGAUUCCGGCUUAUGGCG